GCAAGUCGAGCGAUGAAACUUCUUCGGAAGUGGAUUAGCGGCGGACGGGUGAGUAACACGUGGGCAACCUGCCCUAUAGAGGGGAAUAGCCUUCCGAAAGGAAGAUUAAUACCCCAUAAGAUUGUAGCUUCACAUGGAGCAGCAAUUAAAGGAGCAAUCCGCUAUAGGAUGGGCCCGCGGCGCAUUAGCUAGUUGGUGAGGUAACGGCUCACCAAGGCGACGAUGCGUAGCCGACCUGAGAGGGUGAUCGGCCACAUUGGGACUGAGACACGGCCCAGACUCCUACGGGAGGCAGCAGUGGGGAAUAUUGCACAAUGGGGGAAACCCUGAUGCAGCAACGCCGCGUGAGUGAUGAAGGCCUUCGGGUUGUAAAGCUCUGUCUUUGGGGACGAUAAUGACGGUACCCAAGGAGGAAGCCACGGCUAACUACGUGCCAGCCGCCGCGGUAAUACGUGGGUGGCAAGCGUUGUCCGGAUUUACUGGGCGUAAAGGGAGCGUAGGCGGACUUUUAAGUGGGAUGUGAAAUACUCGGGCUCAACCUGAGUGCUGCAUUCCAAACUGGAAGUCUAGAGUGCAGGAGGGGAAAGUGGAAUUCCUAGUGUAGCGGUGAAAUGCGUAGAUAUUAGGAAGAACACCGGUGGCGAAGGCGACUUUCUGGACUGUAACUGACGCCGAGGCUCGAAAGCGUGGGGAGCGAACAGGAUUAGAUACCCUGGUAGUCCACGCCGUANACGAUGAAUACUAGGUGUAGGGGUUGUCAUGACCUCUGUGCCGCCGCUAACGCAUUAA
rnacentral:rRNA from 1 species